CUCUUCAGGGCAGGGUGAAACUCCCGACCGGCGGUAUAUUGAGUCUUCAAUAUGAAAGUCCGCGAGCCUUCGGGCCGACCCGGUGAAACUCCGGGACCGACAGUACAGUCUGGAUGAAAGAAGA
rnacentral:ncRNA from 1 species